rnacentral:rRNA from 1 species
UGUCUAGCUUGCUAGAAGAUGACGAGCGGCGGACGGGUGAGUAAUGCUUGGGAAUAUGCCUUAUGGUGGGGGACAACAGUUGGAAACGACUGCUAAUACCGCAUAAUGUCUACGGACCAAAGGGGGGGAUCUUCGGACCUCUCGCCAUUUGAUUAGCCCAAGUGAGAUUAGCUAGUUGGUGAGGUAAUGGCUCACCAAGGCGACGAUCUCUAGCUGGUUUGAGAGGAUGAUCAGCCACACUGGGACUGAGACACGGCCCAGACUCCUACGGGAGGCAGCAGUGGGGAAUAUUGCACAAUGGGCGCAAGCCUGAUGCAGCCAUGCCGCGUGUGUGAAGAAGGCCUUCGGGUUGUAAAGCACUUUCAGUAAGGAGGAAAGGGAUGUAGUUAAUAACUGCAUUCUGUGACGUUACUUACAGAAGAAGCACCGGCUAACUUCGUGCCAGCAGCCGCGGUAAUACGAGGGGUGCAAGCGUUAAUCGGAAUUACUGGGCGUAAAGCGUUCGUAGGCGGUUGAUUAAGCAAGAUGUGAAAGCCCAGGGCUCAACCUUGGAACUGCAUUUUGAACUGGUCAACUAGAGUACUGUAGAGGGUGGUGGAAUUUCCA